rnacentral:lncRNA from 10 species
CUUUCCUCCCGUGGCCAAGCCAGGAAGAGGGUACAAUGAUUGAAAGUUUCUCUCCCUGUUGGAGGAACCCAUUUGCAUAGAGCUAGAGGAUUUUCCCUCAGGCAUCUUCCCUGCCCUGCCCUUAAGCUGUUUUUUUUUUUUUUCUUUUCCCCACACUGUCAGGAGUUACCUUUUAUGCAAGAGGUUUUUUUUUUUCCUUUGGAAGACAUCUUAUUAGGCCAGUACCCCAAUUCACAAGACAUCCUUUUCUCUCCCUUGUUUGAGGAGGACUCAGCUCCAUAGCUUUACCUUAGCAUGACUAAGUCCUGCUGAAUUUCAUGGAUAGAGGAGGUCAUGGUAGCAUUCAUGGAUAGAGGAUGCUCCCACUUCAUGGAUAGAGGUCAUGCUAGCAUUCAUGGCAUAGACAAGGUCUAGGGAACUCAAAGGCUACUGACAGCAUUGGGAAAAGGCCACAUGUGGAUAAGUGUGGAUAAUUCCCACCCCCUCGGCCCCCUGUUAAUGUGGGUGAAAACCUCUGUUUUCCUUAUGAAACCCCAGGAAUUGAAAGCAGAAAGAUCCCUCUCAAAACCUUUAGGGUUCCUAACCUGUGGUAAGUAAAGAAUGUUACUUUCUAAUAGGCCCAGGAGACCCAUGUUCUUGAGACCUCAAGAAAAGAGGAAUUUACUCAACUCAUAGGUAUUUGAGGCUACCAACCCAUGGCUGGCCUCAGCUGUAAAAGGUCUUAUCUGAGAUUCCGUGGGGAACAGGGUGUCAUUAAAGCCGAUUUAAAGGCCUGUGUGAAAAACAAUUACUCAUGCUGCACUUUACGCAAAUAAUCAGGCCAAGUAUAAGACUAAGGUUUAUUUUACAAGCAACUUAGUCCUAUCAUGAUUUGUUUUUGACAAAAAUGGGGACUAGAGAGAGAAAAAUUAUGUUUCAAUGCUUACCAUAUACUUGUUAUUAAAUUCUCGUCUCAUCUGUUGUUUUUAGGUUUUUGCCUACAUUCUAGACUAACCCUGUUUAUCCCCGUGAACCAACCAGUGAUCUCUGGCUGUAUCUCAGAAGAAACAGACAGAUGGGUAAUAUAAAGAUCUAGAUCAAUAGUCUAGUUCUGGACAAUUAUCCUGCAAAGCCUGCAAGGUGAUCUGCCCUAGUACGUCACUGAAGAGAGACUAAAGAAAAAAUUGUCUAAUUUCAUAGGACAUUAUAG